rnacentral:rRNA from 1 species
UAGGGAAUCUUCCACAAUGGACGCAAGUCUGAUGGAGCAACGCCGCGUGAGUGAAGAAGGUUUUCGGACCGUAAAGCUCUGUUGUGGUGAAGAAGGAUAGAGGUAGUAACUGGCCUUUAUUUGACGGUAAUCAACCAGAAAGUCACGGCUAACUACGUGCCAGCAGCCGCGGUAAUCGUAGGUGGCAAGCGUUGUCCGGAUUAUUGGGCGUAAAGCGAGCGCAGGCGGAAGAAUAAGUCUGAUGUGAAAGCCCUCGGCUUAACCGAGGAAUUGCAUCGGAAACUGUUUUCUUGAGUGCAGAAGAGGAGAGUAGAACUCCAUGUGUAGCGGUGGAAUGCGUAGAUAUAUGGAAGAAUACCAGUGGCGAAGGCGGCUCUCUGGUCUGCAACUGACGCUGAGGCUCGAAAGCAUGGGUAGCGAACAGGAUUAGAUACCCUUGGUAGUCCAUGCCGU